UACGGGGGGAGCAAGCGUUGUUCGGAUUUACUGGGCGUAAAGCGCGUGUAGGCGGCUAUGUAAGUCGGGCGUGAAAUCCCACGGCUCAACCGUGGAAGUGCACCCGAAACUGCGUAGCUAGAGUCCUGGAGAGGAAGGUGGAAUGCUUGGUGUAGAGGUGAAAUUCGUAGAUAUCAAGCGGAACACCGGUGGCGAAGGCGGCCUUCUGGACAGUGACUGACGCUGAGACGCGAAAGCGUGGGGAGCAAACAGGG
rnacentral:rRNA from 1 species